UACGUAGGGGGCAAGCGUUGUCCGGAUUCAUUGGGCGUAAAGAGCGUGUAGGCGGCCAGGUAGGUCGGUUGUGAAAACUGGAGGCUCAACCUUCAGAGGUCGACCGAAACCAUCUGGCUAGAGUCCGGGAGAGGAGAGUGGAAUUCCUGGUGUAGCGGUGAGAUGCGCAGAUAUCAGGAAGAACACCCGUGGCUAAGGCGGCUCUCUAGUACGGUACUGACGCUGAGACGCGAAAGCGUGGGGAGCGAACAGG
rnacentral:rRNA from 1 species